rnacentral:lncRNA from 1 species
ACUUAAAGAAACCAUUGAAGAUCUUCCUGGUAAAAUGGAUACUGAAUUAGCAGAAUCAGGAUCCAAUUUUAGUGUUGGACAAAGACAACUGGUGUGCCUUGCCAGGGCAAUUCUCAGGAAAAAUCAGAUAUUGAUUAUUGAUGAAGCGACGGCAAAUGUGGAUCCAAAACUGAUGAGUUAAUACAAAAAAAAAUCCGGGAGAAAUUUGCCCACUGCACCGUGCUAACCAUUGCACACAGAUUGAACACCAUUAUUGACAGCGACAAGAUAAUGUUUUAGAUUCAGGAAGACUGAAAGAAUAUGAUGAGCCGUAUGUUUUGCUGCAAAAUAAAGAGAGCCUAUUUUACAAGAUGGUGCAACAACUGGGCAAGGCAGAAGCCGCUGCCCUCACUGAAACAGCAAAACAGUAUACUUCAAAAGAAAUUAUCCACAUAUUGGUCACACUGACCACAUGGUUACAAACACUUCCAAUGGACAGCCCU